rnacentral:misc_RNA from 1 species
GUAGGUGAACCUGCGGAAGGAUCAUUAGUGAAUUCAUCAUCGUCCUCGGGCAGCAAUGUCUGGCGGCGUUUCUGUGGCCCCUCGUGGUCACGGGAGAAAACACAUCCAUAACACCUGUGAACUGUCUGCAAGCGCCAAAAAGCACCUUACCGUGCAGCUUGGCAUUGCACUUUACAAACUCUACCUGUAAAAAAUGUCUAUAUACAAAAACAAAAUAAAACUUUUAACAACGGAUCUCUUGGCUCUC